GAUCCCGUAGUUCAACGGAUAGAAUAGAAGUUUCCUAAACUUUUGAUACAGGUUCGAUUCCUGUCGGGAUCA
rnacentral:tRNA from 1 species